rnacentral:rRNA from 2 species
GGAUCCAGACUUUGAUCAUGGCUCAGGAUGAACGCUAGCUACAGGCUUAACACAUGCAAGUCGAGGGGCAGCGGGAUUGAAGCUUGCUUCAAUUGCCGGCGACCGGCGCACGGGUGAGUAACGCGUAUCCAACCUUCCGUACACUCAGGGAUAGCCUUUCGAAAGAAAGAUUAAUACCUGAUAGUAUCUUAAGCACACAUGUAAUUAAGAUUAAAGAUUUAUCGGUGUACGAUGGGGAUGCGUUCCAUUAGGUAGUAGGCGGGGUAACGGCCCACCUAGCCAACGAUGGAUAGGGGUUCUGAGAGGAAGGUCCCCCACAUUGGAACUGAGACACGGUCCAAACUCCUACGGGAGGCAGCAGUGAGGAAUAUUGGUCAAUGGACGAGAGUCUGAACCAGCCAAGUAGCGUGAAGGAUGAAGGUCCUACGGAUUGUAAACUUCUUUUAUAAGGGAAUAAACCCUCCCACGUGUGGGAGCUUGUAUGUACCUUAUGAAUAAGCAUCGGCUAACUCCGUGCCAGCAGCCGCGGUAAUACGGAGGAUGCGAGCGUUAUCCGGAUUUAUUGGGUUUAAAGGGAGCGCAGACGGGUCGUUAAGUCAGCUGUGAAAGUUUGGGGCUCAACCUUAAAAUUGCAGUUGAUACUGGCGUCCUUGAGUGCGGUUGAGGUGUGCGGAAUUCGUGGUGUAGCGGUGAAAUGCUUAGAUAUCACGAAGAACUCCGAUUGCGAAGGCAGCACACUAAUCCGUAACUGACGUUCAUGCUCGAAAGUGUGGGUAUCAAACAGGAUUAGAUACCCUGGUAGUCCACACGGUAAACGAUGGAUACUCGCUGUUGGCGAUAUACUGUCAGCGGCUUAGCGAAAGCGUUAAGUAUCCCACCUGGGGAGUACGCCGGCAACGGUGCAACUCAAAUGAAUUGACGG